rnacentral:rRNA from 1 species
UACGUAGGUGGCAAGCGUUGUCCGGAUUUACUGGGCGUAAAGGGAGCGUAGGCGGAUUUUUAAGUGGGAUGUGAAAUACUCGGGCUCAACCUGGGUGCUGCAUUCCAAACUGGAAGUCUAGAGUACAGGAGGGGAAAGCGGAAUUCCUAGUGUAGCGGUGAAAUGCGUAGAGAUUAGGAAGAACACCAGUGGCGAAGGCGGCUUUCUGGACUGUAACUGACGCUGAGGCUCGAAAGCGUGGGGAGCAAACAGG